CGCUCCAGGCGGCUCUUCGACAUCUUCGUGGCUGAGGUUCCCUGGACGGUGUCGAGCAAGGAGCUGAAGGAGUACUUCUCCCAGUUCGGGUCAGUACAGAGGUGCCAGCUGCCGUUUG